UUAUAAAUAGCUCAGAUCUGUUUCGACAACACUUAAAUGUUUGUGGAUUUUUGGAGGCUGAGAGGAUGUUGGUUGGAAAAUAUUGAGCGGAAGAGAAGUUCUUCACCAGAACCGUGAGGGCACGGCUGUCUGUGGGUCUGCUAACAGAAUGUUUCUUCAAAUCCUGCUGGGCUUUCUGUUUGGCGUCAGCGCUUCAGCCUCAGAUAAAGAUGCCUCCCAGCAGGGUCCGCCUCCUCUGCUGCUGGUCUCCUUUGAUGGCUUCAGGGCUGACUACCUGCAGAGGUUUUCCAUGCCGAACCUGAAGCUCCUUUACAGCCAGGGGGUCCUGGUGGAGCAGCUUACGAAUGUCUUCAUCACCAAGACGUUUCCCAACCACUACAGCCUGGUGACCGGGUUGUACGCAGAGUCUCACGGUAUCCUGGCCAGUAGCAUGUACGACCCGAUCAGCCACAAACAAUUCAGCCCCCGGAAUGACAGCGACCCCAUGUGGUGGAACGGGGCAGAACCCCUGUGGCUUACGGCGCUGGACACCGGCUACAAGACGGCAGCUGUGAUGUGGCCCGGCUCUGACGUAACCAUUGGCAACAGGACCCCGACACACUUCUUCCCCUACAACCCCGGGAUGACGUUCAGGCAGCGGCUAGAGAACAUAACGAACUGGAUGACGGGGAACGGACAGGAGCAAGGGGUGAAGUUUGCUGCUCUUUACUGGGAGGAACCAGACCGAUCGGGCCACGCUUUUGGACCAGACAACACUACAGAAAUGGAAAAAGCCAUGAAGGAGGUCGACGAUGACAUCGGCCUGCUGGUUUCUGAGCUGAACAGAACCGGUCUCUGGGGUCGCGUCAACCUCUUGGUGACCAGCGAUCACGGCAUGGCUCAGUGCUCGGCUGAUCGCCUCAUACGGCUAGACGACUGCCUCCACCCGGACAACUACACUCUGGUGGAUCUCACGCCUGUCGCAGCCCUCAUCCCCAACAGAGACCCAGAAAAGAUCUUUAAACUAUUGAGUAAGUGCCACGCCAACAUGAUGGCGUACUUGAAGAAGGAAAUCCCCGAUAGGCUUCACUACCGGAACAAUGAGCGCAUCCAGCCAAUCAUUCUGAUUGCUGACGAGGGUUGGACCAUAGUGAAGACUGGGAACAAGCUGCCCAGAUUGGGAGAUCACGGCUAUGACAACUCCCUACCCAGCAUGCACCCCUUCCUGGCAGCGACAGGGCCAAGCUUCCGUCAAGGCUAUCGGAUGAAGAGUUUGCAGAGCGUGGACGUUUACCCGUUGAUGUGCCACCUGCUGUCGGUCCCACCGCGGCCCAACAACGGCUCUCUGAGCCAGGCUCGGUGUCUUCUGUCCAGUGAGACUUGCUGGAACGUCCCUUUGGUGGCGGGCCUGGUGAUCAGCGUCCUAAGUUUGCUCACGGUCUUCACCCUUCUUUUCGUUUUGAUGCGGUCCCGCCAGUCCUCGGACCCCCGACCCUUCCGGAGGCUGGAAAUCCUCGACGACGAUGAUGAUGAACCCUUAUUGGGGUAAAACCCCUCACGUGUAGCACUUUACUUGUUGACUUCAUGCACACCGCAGCAGGAGAAGCCAGUUAUGUUAAAAACCCUCAGGUCUGCUCUCUCCUGCUGUGGACCCGUCCUCCAAUCUGGACCAAGUCUUCCCAUGGACACCAGGUCCUGGUCUCCAUAAUAAGACAGAAGUGGUUCACUGUGGUGACUCCUUUUGAGAUGGCGCCAAAAUACUGAGUUUAUGUGGCAUGGAUGUUGUUAUGCUGCUUCUGCAUCACUUACGCUGGAAGCUUACUAUGCAGUCUUUUAUUGUUGGGUCUACUUUUUAAAUCCGAGUUCCUUUAUCGCACCAACAAAUUCCUUAAUUCAAGCUAAUAACUGCUAAUUGCUCACAGAGGGGGAAGACAUGUUUGAAAAAAAAAAGAUUUCUAUGCAGGUUAAUGUCUAUAUCAGCCAUACUUCGUCUAAGUGAUGCCAGAGACAAACGACAAUCAUCAAAGAGGGGAGAUUAGUAGGAAUUUACAGAAAUAGGUUGAAUCUUUCCAGUCAGUGGAUAUUUAGCGUUUAAAAACACAGUUUGGAUUGAACGAUCAGACAUCCUAAAUUGGGUAGACGUCUGAUUUUCAGGGAUUAAAAACUGUGAAUAGUUGCUGCAAAAAGAUCAAAUGUUUAAUAUUUAUUUCAUUACUGACAUUUUAAGUUAAAGGGACUUUUCAGACUUUUGAAUUUUUAUGCUCGUGAUUGCACCCUCAGGCUAAAAGCGUAACAGCAGCUUCAAUAGGAGGCUCGUGCACGAGGCACGCAUGCUGUACGUGCACACUCCUUCACGAAAAUAACAGCUGAGACCGUCCCGUGUGUGUGUGUGUGUGUGUGUGUGUGGCCUAGAGGACAGGAGAACGUGCAGCUAAUUCAUUAAAUAAUUUGGUUCUGUACCUUUCUCUUCAGCACAGCCGACAAAGGUUUAUGAUGGGUCAGUCCUCCUGCAUGCUCAGAUCAUUCCCUUCCCUUGCUUGAAAAAUUGUUCCAAAAUGAAAGUUGAACCCACAUCUUUUUUAUCUGUGAAUUCAAUGCCGUUCGGCGAGUCUCAAAUAAAAAUUUGGGCAUCUUAAUGUAAAAAAAAUAUACCAUUAAUGUAAAAAAGAAACUCUAAAUAAACUAUGUUCUCAUCCAGAAUCAAACCCAGGUCUUCUGCAUGAGAGUCAGACAUCUUACAAGGUGAACUACAAUCUAGUAACAUUCACAGUAUCUGUAACUUUUAUAUCCUUGAUGACAGCUGAAACAACGUCAAACCAAAGAACGGUUCGGAGCGAAAAUGGCUAUUUUGUUUCUAAUUUGCAGGAAAUAUCUAGAAGAAAGUUCUACAGAAAGUAGCUAAGGGUCCUCAGAAAUGUAGCUAGGUUAGUCACUAGGCGUUAGGAACAGCGACAAAGUCGCUGAGUUGCCACUGCCUCUCUCUCUGCUGCUAAAGCUACGGAUAGCAAAUGCUACGGGCUAUGCCUGAGCGUGAACGCGCAUGAAGCAGCCUGCUCGACCCGAGCAUCUCUCUUUUUCUGUGAUUUUACAGAAAAACAGGCAAUCACAGUAAAAAUGCCAGGGCUCAUUCUACAGGACCAGGGCAUUGCAGGAGAAUGUAUGAAGAAGACAUUUAUUAUUUCUAUACAUGUUUUGGCUGUCAAACUUCCAUAACGUCCCUUUAACAAACCAACAAAAAAAUGCAACCAAAAGUCUAGAUAAUAAUUUCAGUUCUAAGAGUGUACAAUAGUGAAUGUGAGCAUUUGCCAAAACAGAGAAAAAAAGCUGGUUUUAAUUUAUUGACCUCAAAAUACAAAUUAGCUUUAUUUUAUUUUAUUUUUUAGAAAAUGUUUGAGUUGGCUUAAAUAAAUCAGUUAUUUAUUUUUAAUUUCAAAUAAACUGUCGUGGAACUAGCUGUUAGUCUUCUAGACACACUUCAUUCACGGACAAGUUCAUGAUUUGUAAAGAAAAUGGAUCCACCUUUGGAAAAUGGUCACAUGGACUAAACAUUUUUAGAUGCUUCAAAGAAAAUGGGAAAAAAAAGUCAGUGCAAAAUGUGCAAGGAAAAAUGAUCAGGCAGCAUACAGACCACCUUUCAUCGAACUUUACGGUGCGCCAUUUGGGACAAAUUAGGUGGGUUUUCCAAAUGAUGAGGGGACAGUAUCUUGGCAGGAAGAAUCCCUUAAACAUUUAUUUAUGGACUUAUGAGUAUUUUAGGUUGCUUUUGAUUUUUUUUUCUUCAAAUUGAAGUUAAUUUGAAUUUGAAUAAAACACAAGCUAUUUUAAAAAAAAUCGGACACCGAUAGUCCUGAUUUCUAAAAAUUUGCAUUGGUUGAAAAAAAAACUUUGGUGUACAGUAUAUUUUUUAAAUAUAUAUUCAUAGAAUAGCACAAAGGUCACCUUUCUAUGUUGCACUGCUUGCAUACAUAUCCAAUAAUGUUUAUAAUGAAUGUUAUUUGUUUGCAUUUUAUUAAGUGAAUUUUCUGUACACACACACACACACACACACACGGUGCUAUUCUCCUUAAUUCUUUUAUUUUCCAAAUUAAAUGACAAAAGAGAAUUAGGAUAUGGUCUUUUUUGCAUAUAUGUUGGUCUGAGGUAGAGGUCAGCCAAUAUGUAGGAGACAUGGUCAGCCAAUGGCCAAUACUACUGCUGAUUAUUAUGGGCCGAUUUUCAUGACCUACAUCCAGAUGUUUUCCACCUUUUUUCAGGCUAAAAUAUCACUAAUAACAUCGGUUGAUGGAAAAACAUUUCUGAAGCUGAAUCGGUUUUUGAACUCUGAAUUGAACCAACUGUUACAUCUUAACUUUGGCCACUGCUCAGUGUUGAAGUCAGACACCUAAAUAAAGUUAAGUUAGAGUAUUUAUUAUGCAGAUGUUCUUAGUGAACGUAAAAAUACAUAAAAAUUAAAUUCUGCAACAGCACCGGGCUGCCCGAGGAUGUGCCUGUCUAUAAAUCGGCUUUAUUAAGGACAAAUGUCGGCCAAUGCCGAUUAUAUAAAAAAGCGGUAAAUAUCUGCCCAAUAUAUUGGUCUACCCCAAUUCUGAUUUGUCUGUUCUACCAUCUUUGUGGGAAAAAAAUUAAUUAUUUUGGGAAUUCUUCCAAACAAGCCAUAUUGUUGCACUGUGAUGAAUUUUAAUGGGACGCUAACUGAAUUUUUUUUGUAUUUAAUUUUUUUUAUAAAUCAAGGUUCAGUUGUCCAGUUCCUAGUAAUGAUGCCUUA